GACGAACCGUCCAAACGUUAUUCGGAAUCACUGGGCUUACAGAGUUCGUAGGCGGUCUGGAAAGUUGGGUGUGAAAUCCCUCGGCCUAACCGAGGAACUGCGCUUGAAACUACCAGACUCGAGGGAGAUAGAGGAAAGCGGAACUGAUGGUGGAGCGGUGAAAUGCGUUGAUAUCAUCAGGAACACCGAUGGCGAAGGCAGAUCUCUGGGCCGUAACUGACGCUGAGGAGCGAAAGCGUGGGGAGCGAACAGG
rnacentral:rRNA from 1 species